GGUUAUGAAGGUUUAGAGGGACCUGUGGGUCCACAGGGUUACCCUGGAUGUAAUGGGACAAAGAGACAAAAGGGUAACCCUGGAGUUGAUGGACUGCCAGGAAAUCGGGGGCCUCAGGGUGUACCAGGUUUAUCCGGACCCAAGGGAAAUCCUGGAGAUGGAUUUUAUGGAUUUGGUCCAAAAGGUGAUCCGGGUAAUCUAGGAUGAAGGGUUCCUAGUGGUGUUCCUGGCAUUCCAG